GAUGAACGCUGGCGGCGUGCUUAACACAUGCAAGUCGAACGAAGCACUUUAAAACAAUCUUUCGGGUGCGUUUUAUUGUGACUUAGUGGCGGACGGGUGAGUAACGCGUGGGUAACCUGCCUCAUGCAGGGGGAUAACAGUUAGAAAUGACUGCUAAUACCGCAUAAGCGCACAGUACCGCAUGGUACAGUGUGAAAAGAUUUAUCAGCAUGAGAUGGACCCGCGUCUGAUUAGCUAGUUGGUGAGGUAAACGGCCCACCAAGGCGACGAUCAGUAGCCGGCCUGAAGAGGGGUGAAACGGCCCACAAUUUUGGGGACUGAGACACGGCCCAAAACUUCCUACGGGGAGGCAGCA
rnacentral:rRNA from 1 species